rnacentral:rRNA from 1 species
CAGCAGUCGCCACGGUAAUACAGAGGGUGCAAGCGUUAAUCGGAAUUACUGGGCGUAAAGCGCGCGUAGGUGGUUUGUUAAGUUGGAUGUGAAAUCCCCGGGCUCAACCUGGGAACUGCAUCCAAAACUGGCAAGCUAGAGUAUGGUAGAGGGUGGUGGAAUUUCCUGUGUAGCGGUGAAAUGCGUAGAUAUAGGAAGGAACACCAGUGGCGAAGGCGACCACCUGGACUGAUACUGACACUGAGGUGCGAAAGCGUGGGGAGCAAACAGGAUUAGAUACCCCAGUAGUCCCUGUCUCUUAUAC